ACGACCAUCCCCAGAAUUUGACGGUGAGCUUAUUAAUCACAGAUCCACUGGUACUUCGAUGUCACCACCUAAAUACCAAUCAUACCCCUAACCUCCACCAAACCAGAACAAAAUCCCCAAUCCCGUUAUUGUAAUUUCACUUGCUAAACAGACUCCACUACACUCCAGCUAUUAUAUUUGUCUCCCCUCUCAUCAAUUUCACUACCCCAACAGAUUUAGAGCGAGAGAGAAAUCUCUAUAGAGAUCUAGAGAGAGUACCUAACCAAUCUCUGCAGCGAGAUGAGAGAGAUUGGUGCACAACAGGCGCAAAUUGAAGGUAACAACAGCAACGGUAGCGGUAACGGUAACGGCGGUGAUCAGUUCAACGACGGUGGCGGCAUGGCGGGNCGGGUGGGCUACGUGACUUGCAACGGCAUAUACUCCAUUAGAGAUUUAAAGUUUGUAUAUAACCUAGUGUAAUCAUUCUCAAAAAAAAAAAACCUAGUGUAAUAAUGAUUGUAUUUUUGCAAUAUAAAGUAUGUGACUGCACUUUUUACCCUGAACUAAUUAACAUAGAAUUAUUUGUCCUAAUAAUUUGGAUGGCUGACGUGGGUAUAAGAUGAUAGUAACAAUACUUAUAAACUUGUUCGUGUUGACCGCUCCAAGUUUUCUGAUGCUAGAUUUUGUGUUUCAGAAAAUCAAGAUUUAUCUUAUCAUUGACUAAUAAAACAUAUAAAUUUUGUAAAUUUUAUUUGAUUAUCUGAUAUAAAUAUUUUACAUGAAAUUCUACAUUUUGUAAGUUAUAUUAAAUAAAAAUCCAUAAUACGAAUUUUUAGUUUGGUACAAAUUAAGUUUGUUGAGCUAAUUAAUUUAGAUAUUUUAAUUUAAUUGUGAAUGAGUAUAUAUUUGUCGAUCAAACAACUUAUAAAAUAAGAAAGUUAUCACUUAUGAGAUCUCAUUUGUCAACGACGUAGAGUGACAAAUGGUGCAAAUAACAAGUAGAUAGUCUAUUCGAGCAUCAGUCAUUGUUGAGUGUGUUGUGUAGUGCUACUGCUACUGCUUUUAGUAGUUUGUCUCUGUUGCAAAAUUCGUUCUUGCCUUUAAAACCACUUCUCGCUCUCGCUACACGUGAAAAGAUUGGAUGUCAUGUUGUGUUAAUCAGAUACAACACUUCACCGUUCCACAAUUUUAGUCACAUUUUUUAGUUAUUUUAUAUAAUCUUAUAAUUCAAUUGAUUUACAAACUUAAUAUUAAUAAAAAUAUAUUUAAUACUAACAUUAACAUUAUAAUAAAUAAUACUCUCUCUGUUUCAAUUUACAUGUCCACUUUCAAGAAAUAUUUUUGUUUCAAAUUAUUUGUCAACUUCAACCUUCGAUGCAAAAUCAUAUCUUCAAAGCCAAUUCUAUUCCACAUAUUUUUUAUUUAUAUUUUCUAGAUCAAUCUCAUUCCACAUAAUUUUUAUCAGUAAUUUUUUUUAAAGUGUAAUAUUGUCCUUGCACCAGAUUGGCGGGCCCACGACCAUCCCCAGAAUUUGACGGUGAGCUUAUUAAUCACAGAUCCACUGGUACUUCGAUGUCACCACCUAAAUACCAAUCAUACCCCUAACCUCCACCAAACCAGAACAAAAUCCCCAAUCCCGUUAUUGUAAUUUCACUUGCUAAACAGACUCCACUACACUCCAGCUAUUAUAUUUGUCUCCCCUCUCAUCAAUUUCACUACCCCAACAGAUUUAGAGCGAGAGAGAAAUCUCUAUAGAGAUCUAGAGAGAGUACCUAACCAAUCUCUGCAGCGAGAUGAGAGAGAUUGGUGCACAACAGGCGCAAAUUGAAGGUAACAACAGCAACGGUAGCGGUAACGGUAACGGCGGUGAU
rnacentral:lncRNA from 1 species